UAACCAAGAUACCAAACAACACAAUGAAAGAUCUAAAAUAGAAUUGCCAAUAAACUGUGAAAUUUAUUAAGAAUACUUUAGUUCAAGAGAAACCUAAAAACGCGAAUAAAUACAAGAAAAUUGAUAACAUCGAUGAUCGUGUAAAUGUUAACCUAAACCUAACAUAACCUAACAUUCGCAAAUGUCAUAUGGGUGAACAGGAAUGUGAGAAACGGCGAAAAAGCGGCAGAUAGGCAUCGCGGCCAAGUCGAAAAUUGUGACGUUGCUCGGCAUUUGGUACAAUUUUUUCCAUGAAGUUAAUGUUAAUCAGUGGCGGACGUGACGUGGAUGGAGGGUGCUCGACUGGAUUUCAUGUCGGCCGCUGCCAGGCUUGUACAGCCUGUAUGCCAUAAACGUGCUGCCAUAAGUACUUUGGCAAUAUACAUCCCGGCAUCGGGACUCAUCCAUUACAACAGGCUAGCGCGUGAUCGUGCAACCACUCGUGGAGCACCGGCGCGCAACGCAGAAUCAUUUUGUACCGUUCAUUUCGGAACGACAAUCCACACCACCAGCGAGACUUUCCCAUAUUUUCGCCCGAUUCUUUUUCCGAAACGGACCCGCGAAAAAUGACGUUUUAUUGCUGCUAUGAAACACACACACGAAGGCCGAAGUGCUGUUCGAGUGGGCACCGAAUUUUCGACGGUCCAUGACGAUCCUCGAGGGCCGAGUUUCGCCGUUGCCAUUGUUGCAUGUUUUCAAAGUUCAUUCGCCUGUUGAUUGACAAAUUUUUGACUUGGUGGAGCGCCAGAGAUCGGACGAUUACUGCUGCGUGAUACGCGUUGGUUAUCUUCGAAGAAGAAAUUUUUCAAGUUUGCUUAUAUAGUGGAUUACCUUAUACACGCUAUAAAUUUAUAUAUAGAAUUAUACAUAAUUGAUUAUAAUCACGUAGAAGGAUAACGAUAUAUCCUCUAGAGUAGACGAUCUUUGUUCGUAACGAUUCUACAGGCAACAAGAGAUCGUUGCACAAUGAGACCCGCAUAAGAGGUAUUAGGAGUACGCGUGUACGCAUCGCUAUACACAACCAGUGGUUUUCAACAUGAUAUAAGUAAACCCAGGAUUAACUCCUUUAUCCUUUACCCAUUCCAUAAUGCCACUUCAACGAUCCACUGGGCAAAUGGAAAAAUAACGAAACAACUAACUCGGUAACUUCUGAUAAACGGAAGCAUUAUAUCUUCUAAACUGAUGAAAUCAUCAACCGAUUUCUGAACAUCGACAACAUUUAGAAAAUAUAUUCUAAACAAAGAAUGCCGCAUUAUGAAAGGACAAUCUAUACAAUCUGUAUUUGGAACAUAAUCAGAGUUACAUAUGUACUAAUUUAAUAUUACAAUUCGACUACUUAACACCACGACAUAUGAGAAGGAUAAUGACAUUUGAAUUGCAACGAUUAGCAAGUUCCCCUGGAUGGCGCGUGAAGGACGCGCGAAGGAAAGCGCGCCAUUAAAAGACGGACGGCCAUUAACAUCCGCAAAACGCUGUCAAUUGACCGUCCACAAAACAACUCUUUAACCUUUUCUUCGUGGACACCCCUCCCCGAGCUGUUCCCUUAUACCGGUGCUCCACAAUUCAAAAAUCGCGUGCGUUCUUUCACGCACGCUUUACUCACGGGGGUCCCCAAGCAAAAUGCACACGCGCGUUCCACAUCUCGUCUAACUCCGGUCUCUUCCAUUCAUUCGCGUUAUGUAUAGUGUACAGUGCCAUGUAAGUAUAAUAAAUAAGAACGCUUGAGGACCCAUUGUGCCGAUUGUUUUCGAUGGCCUCGUCGAAAACGACGAGGCCUGUCGGCAGGGUGCACGCCACGGGGCACAUACACAUACACGCAUGUGCUGACAAGUAUACCUAUAUAUAUACAAGCGUGCAUGCGUAUAUACAUGCACGAUUUUUCUUUCUGUUUCUUCCUGUCUCUUUUCCUUUCUAACGAUUUCCUUGUUCAGGUCUUUUCUACAUACUUCUACUCUUACACGGUCCAAUUUUUUUCCUUUCUUUUCUACCUUCUUCCUUGCCCAUAUCCGCGAAAGUCUCUUAAAUACUCCUUUAUUGCAGUAAGGAGAAAACAAGAACUCAGCAGGAUCCCUGAAUGCAACCACGAAAGCUGGAUACUCGGUCACAGUAAUACGACGUGUACGUGCUUACUGGCCGUGCUCGAGUACGUACUUGCAGCCUUUUCCUAGCUCGGUUUAAGACGGUAUUUCGAAGCGGACCGCGAGCUUCCAGUCCAUCAAGCAACUGAUCCUGCUGCUAUGUGAUUCCGUAUAAUGCUCCUUCCUAAGUGUUCCUUCGUCGAUCCUUUUCCAUCGAUCCCCCGAAUGCAUGUAUCGAUCAGCUAAAGAUAAAAAACGCUCGGGUGACUUCGUGGACCUAGAUAUGUAUUGUACUACAUAAAGAAUGCAAUCGGCCAGUGAAAAGCGAAGAAAAAAGGUGUAAAGCAAAAAAAGGCAUUUGUUUAAAGGCAUCGUCAGAUUUGCUUUAAAAUAAAAAGAAAAAAGAAGCUAACAGAAUGCAAUGAAACUCAACAAACGGAUGGAAAUUUAAAGCGUAUAAGAGUACUAAGGAGACAGAAAAAGCGAAGGAGGAUCAGGUACUUCUGCAACGGCUGCUGCGUCGAAUAGAAGUAAUAUUAACAUAAGGCGACGAUAAAGAACAAGCGAGCAAGGGCGAAAGAAAGACUAUAUAUAAUUUAACGACGCUAAGCAAGGGAGGACGGUGUCAUUUUUUUCUUGCGCAGCGUGGCCGUAGCACGAUAUGGGUGGGUUCGUUUUCCAACCGUAGCUUGUGUGUUCACCCCACUUACCACCGCAUUUUCGCGCAUUAGCCUGCGAUAGCUACGUAGGAAAAUAUAAGGCGUAUAUAGGCAACCUUGGGUACCUACUCGUGUCACCCAUUUCGGGCAUUACGAUCCCAUUUCUGUGGCUAUUAUUAUCCGGACUCAGAUCUUAAAUGCGUCUGCCGGAUAUUGCCUCUUCGGCCGUGCCGAUAAAAAUUUCCAUGCAAAUUAUCGCAAGUUACGCCCACUAACUUUUCUCUGUCUCUUUCUUCUCGUUCAUUGCUUGCUUGAUUUGUACCUUAACUGUCUAAGCUGUCUUCUUCUUUUUCUCUCUGUCAUCUUUAGAAUUUGAUUCUAAUUUUACGCCAAUGGUGAUGAGCUGUGCAUUUAGGGAAAGAGAAUGUUGAGUGAAAUCGAAUAUUUUUUAUAUAUAUUCUUGCAUAUUGUAUAUUGCCAAACUUUCUAAUUCAUGUUCCUUACAAUGUAGAUUUAGGGACAUUUAGAAUAUUUUAACUUAACAUGAAUAAUCAUUGCAUACUUACCAUCUUGAUUAGUACUUGGAUAUUUCCUUCCAUUUAUAAUACCAAUAGAAAUAUUUAGGUAUGUAUGUGUAUGGAUUGAGUAACCAGAAAGUAUAUCUACAUGAAGAAACUCAGUUUCGAAAGAGAGGAAUAUAACUUGGGACAAAGAACGGAUAGAGAAUCUUCUUUCGUAUAACUUUUUAAUUAGCCAAACAAUACUCGUUAGCCGAGAUUAUUAUGAUAAUCUGUUGUGUACCACACUUCACCUCGUUACUCUGUUAUUCAUCGGGUAUAGGACGAAGAAUACAACAUGCGAAAACAGCUAGCGGCCAAUCAGUUAAGUCGAGCAUUGUUUCGAACAAACGCGCGAGAGCAGAGGGUAGCCCCUAAUCCUUGCGGCCUAUCGAAAAUCCAUGAUCGAAAUAUAUCUACUCUGUCAAACGCAUGCGUACCUAGAUCGGUACCCUUUCGUCCGACAAGGAUUUUUACGGCUUUCAAUCCUGUCAGAAUGAAGGACGUGUCGCCUCUGGAUUUGCCAUCGAAAUCUUUGUUAUGUACUUUGCCAUAAAUCAGGAUGCGCUUCAAUCGAUGCGUUAUGAUCCGAUCAAA
rnacentral:lncRNA from 1 species